AGGUAUAGGCAAUCUAUACGGUGAAACUGCGAAUGGCUCAUUAAAUCAGUUAUCGUUUAUUUGAUAGUACCUUACUACUUGGAUAACCGUGGUAAUUCUAGAGCUAAUACAUGCUAAAAACCUCGACUUCGGAAGGGGUGUAUUUAUUAGAUAAAAAACCAAUGCCCUUCGGGGCUCCUUGGUGAUUCAUAAUAACUUAACGAAUCGCAUGGCCUUGUGCCGGCGAUGGUUCAUUCAAAUUUCUGCCCUAUCAACUUUCGAUGGUAGGAUAGUGGCCUACCAUGGUUUCAACGGGUAACGGGGAAUUAGGGUUCUAUUCCGGAGAGGGAGCCUGAGAAACGGCUACCACAUCCAAGGAAGGCAGCAGGCGCGCAAAUUACCCAAUCCCGACACGGGGAGGUAGUGACAAUAAAUACUGAUAUAGGGCUCUUUUGGGUCUUGUAAUUGGAAUGAGUACAAUUUAAAUCCCUUAACGAGGAACAAUUGGAGGGCAAGUCUGGUGCCAGCAGCCGCGGUAAUUCCAGCUCCAAUAGCGUAUAUUAAAGUUGUUGCAGUUAAAAAGCUCGUAGUUGAACCUUGGGCCUGGUUGGUCGGUCCGCCUCACCGCGUGCACUGACCCGACCGGGUCUUUCCUUCUGGGGAGCCGCAUGCCCUUCACUGGGUGUGUCGGGGAACCAGGACUUUUACUUUGAAAAAAUUAGAGUGUUCAAAGCAGGCCUAUGCUCGAAUACAUUAGCAUGGAAUAAUAGAAUAGGACGUGUGGUUCUAUUUUGUUGGUUUCUAGGACCGCCGUAAUGAUUAAUAGGGAUAGUCGGGGGCAUCAGUAUUCCGUUGUCAGAGGUGAAAUUCUUGGAUUUACGGAAGACUAACUACUGCGAAAGCAUUUGCCAAGGAUGUUUUCAUUAAUCAGUGAACGAAAGUUAGGGGAUCGAAGACGAUCAGAUACCGUCGUAGUCUUAACCAUAAACUAUGCCGACUAGGGAUCGGGCG
rnacentral:rRNA from 1 species